CCUACGGGUGGCAGCAGUGGGGAAUAUUGGACAAUGGGGGCAACCCUGAUCCAGCCAUGCCGCGUGUGUGAAGAAGGCCCUCGGGUUGUAAAGCACUUUCAGUGAGGAAGAACGCCUGGUGGUUAAUACCCAUCAGGAAAGACAUCACUCACAGAAGAAGCACCGGCUAACUCCGUGCCAGCAGCCGCGGUAAUACGGAGGGUGCAAGCGUUAAUCGGAAUUACUGGGCGUAAAGCGCGCGUAGGUGGCUUGAUAAGCCGGUUGUGAAAGCCCCGGGCUCAACCUGGGAACGGCAUCCGGAACUGUCAAGCUAGAGUGCAGGAGAGGAAGGUAGAAUUCCCGGUGUAGCGGUGAAAUGCGUAGAGAUCGGGAGGAAUACCAGUGGCGAAGGCGGCCUUCUGGACUGACACUGACACUGAGGUGCGAAAGCGUGGGUAGCAAACAGGAUUAGAUACCCGAGUAGUC
rnacentral:rRNA from 1 species